CAGGGAAGUGAAAGUGUUACAUUGUAUCAGUGACGAACAGACCCUGGUCAGGGGCCACAGAGCUGCACAACACUGACACCCAGGGCAGGGGCCAAAAAGGUGCCAGACAGAGCACUGGGGUUACUCACUGUCACAAUGAAAUAAUCUACCCGCUGGCACAAGGAAAAUGGACUGGAGGGCAAUGUCUGUGCGUGACAGGUUGCUCCUUGGUCUCUUGUGGUAUCUCAUAUCAGGUUGGGCACAUGGCAGAUCCUUAGUUGGACGACUAGGGACCAAGAUGGAGAUGCCCUGCAGGUACCAACCUCUCCGGGCCCCUUUGCACCAACUCUACAUGUACUGGCAGAUAAAGGAUUCAGAGAAAGACUUAACAGCUGCCGCAGUGGUGAAUGGGCAAGUGGAUGAGAAAUACCAACAUGGGGCAUUCAAAGGGCGUGCGUGGUUGGAUCGCACAAAGCUGAAGGAAGGAGACUUCACAUUGCACCUCUCCAAUCUGACGCAGAAGGACGAGGGGACAUAUUUGUGUAUUGUCAUGUUUGAGAAACCGCCCAUGACACUUAUGCACAACAGUACAGUGCAACUCAAGGUGAUGGCUGAGUUCACCAGGCCGACUGUCACCAUCAACAUGACAUCUGGGCAGGAGUUCACACUGAUCUGUAAUUCAUACGGAGGGUUACAGAAGCCAAGCGUCUGGUGGCUGAACUCAAUGGAUGGAUCCCUGAUUGGUUCUGGUCACUUGAAUACAGAGAAGCAUGAGGACUAUGUGAAUGUCACCAGCAUCCUCACUGUGAAUGUUACCCAGUCCCUUAACAUCACCUGCACUGUGGAAAACCCACAAGGAAAUGUUACCUCAAAGCCAUAUAUCCUAGAAAUCCCACCUCCUAACGAGCAUUAUACCGAGAGGCAGAGUCACGUUUCGGAAGCUGUGAUUGGUACCGUAUUACCUUUACUUGUACUGGCCCUGUUGGUUGUUGGACUCUGUCUGGUGAGGAAGCCUCAGUGCAUUUGGCACGCAGGACUAAAGGAUACCAAGGAGGGCACUGAAUUGCCGUUACAAGGAAGGUACCCUGAGGUGAGAUGAGACAGGAACCUGACUGGGCAUGGAAAGCAAUAGAAGGAUGAAGAGAAACUACUGGAGGGUCAACAAGGAGAUAUAGAACUUUGGGACAAAUUAAAUGUGACUCCUGUGGAAUAAUGUGCUGUGGUGCUGCCCGUCCCCCAUAUAUCCCAGGCUCCUUGUGGAGGUUACGCCCUGUCAUUGGUGGGAAGGUACAGUGAAAGCUCAGAAUGAAGAUGUGGCCUCAGGAUUAGACCUGAAACUUGUGUUGCACCAGUUGCCAAAAAGUUUUUCUUGUGGCUGAAAUGUUUGUUGGAGGCUACAGGGGGAGCCACAGAGGAUUGACAGAAGACUGGUUUCUUUUCAAAAUGUCAGCUUUGUAUUCAAGAUGAAGGUGGUAAAGAAACAACUGUUUCAGUCCAGUAACCCAUAGCAACUAAACAACUAUCAGUUUUGAGUGAUCUGUUGCCGUUCGAAUGAUGAAAGAAUUGCUGGGUUUACUGAGGUAAGGCAACUGCAACCCAUUCAACUUGUACAUAACCCCAAAACCACCCUUGCUGCCAUUGCAGAACUUCAGAUAUGGAUAUCAAUGGAAUUCAUGGUUAAAAUAAGAUCUGGGAGAGGAAGAAUUACUCUUUGGUCAAAGGAUUCUUCUGAUAAAAUGUUGGCAGCAGUUAUAUGUAUAUUAAGUGGGACAACCAACUGAGCCAAGAGUUCCCCCACACAAAAGUCUCCUGUAUGAGGAGACAGUAAUAAGGACCAUGUUGUACUAAUAUCCCAUUGGAUAGUCCACACCUGGACUUGUGGCUGAUCAUAAAUUCAGUGUUUCCUGA